GUGCAGACAUAGGAUGACAAGCCACCUGCCAGUGCUGGAGACCACUGCUGUGCAUGCUGCCGCCUUCUUGUUCAUGUACCUCCCCCUCCCUCAUCCUUCAUGUUUACUUCUUUCACCGAAAUGAAAAUUGGUUGACUACAGAGCAGACACUUCCUAAACCUCUCAAGAAAUCCUGAAGCAAGCCAUGCCUCUUGAAUGAAACAUAGACAGCUGAUUCCUGGCCUGGUGCUGCCUUCUGUCUGCGAUGGAGUUCCUGUGCUGUUUAGACGAUUGCUUGCCUCUCAGAUGUCACAGUUGGUGAUAUGUAUGUUUACUGAGCAAUUGCUGUAGCCCCACAUUGCCCUUGACUGGAGAUACUGAAUAUACCAGCAAGCAGCACGAGACGUAUACAUUAUUGAAUCCUCAUCUUUGGCGCAUGGAGGGCUGGCUCUUCAACCCUACUGGUUUAGCCCAUGUAACAAAUGACUGAGGUGGAACCCACAGUGAAAAUACAAUGAUCACUCAGUCUAUUUAGUGCAAUGACUGAAGCAGGCUGAGGGAAACUGCUCAGGUCGUUCUGGUGUGGCCCUGCUGCCUUCUGAGGGAGUGGUGAAUUGGCAAUUACUCUGAUAAAUGUGGCUGCUGGAGACCCAUCUCUGUACAUUCAACAAACAUUAAUCAAGAGUCUACAAUGGGCCAGUCCCUACCAAAACCUGAGCCCUUGAGACAGAAAGCUAACAUAACUGUCUUCUGAGAGGCUCCAUCCAGCAGUCAGUGAAAACAGAUACAGAGACCGACACUCAAACAUUAGAUGGAGCUCAAGGAGUCUUAAGGAAGAGUUUGAGGAAGGAUUGAGGGACUUGAAGAGGACACAGACCUCAAAGGAAAACCAACAGAGUCAGCUAACCUGGACACUUGGGGACUCCCAGAGACUGAAUCACAAAACAAAAGUGAGCAUGGGCUGGGCUAGGCUCCUGCACAUAUGAAGCAGAUGAGCAGCUUAGUCUUCAUGCAGGUCCACCAACAACUAAAGUGGGGGCUGUCCCUGAGCCUGUUGUGUGCCUGUGGACUCCAUACCACUAAAUGGGUAGCCUUGUCUGGCUCAGUGAGAGAGGAUGUGACUAGUCCAGCAGCUAUUUGAUGUGCAGGGGGUGGGGGUAGGGGUCGUGAGGGGUUAGAUGUUUGACACCCAGAGGGGGUUUCACAUUCUCUUUUGAAAAGGGGAAGGUGGAAUAGGAGGAGGGCUUUCCUGAGGAGUACUGGGAGGAGAGGAAGGGCUGAUAUUGUGUUGUAAAGUGAAUAAAUAAGUAAAUUAAAAACAAAUAAAACUAACAAAAUUGAGAUCUGUGAUCUAUUUGGAUCUAAGUUUUGUACAGAGUGAUAGAGAUUGGUAUUAUUUUAUUCUUCUGUAUGUGGACAUACAGGUUUUCCAGUGCCAUUUGUUAAAGAUGCUAUCUCUUCUCUCGAGAGGUUUUUCCUCAUUGUCAAAUAUCAGAUGGCUAUAGUUAUGAGAACUCACAUGUGGGUCUUCUAUUAUUCCAUUGUUCUACAUGUAUGGUUUACGCUAGUACCAUAUUGUUUUAUUACUAUGGCAUCUCUAGAACUCUGGGCUAGCAAUUCCGCUAAAAUUAUUCUUUUGGUUCAGGAAUGGCUUGCCUCUCUGGGAUCCUUUCUCAUUUCAUAUGAAUUUUAUUCUGUCAAGAAUGUGGAUAUUUUAAUUAGUGUUUCAUUGAAUCUGUACAUUUCUUUUAGCUUGUAAAAGAAGCUUGUACUUGUAGCUUGGCUAUUUUCACAACUAAUUCUACUGACCCAUGAACACAGAAUGGCUUUGUAUUUUCUAGUUUAUUUCUCAAUCCCUUUCUUCAAAGAUUUGUAAUUUGCAUUGUAGAGGUUUUUCACCUCCUCAGUUAGUUUUAUUCCAAGAUAUUUUAUUGUCAUUGAUGCUAUUGAAAAUAAAAGUGCAUCUUCAAUGUGUUUGUUAUUGAUAUAUAGAAAGGCUGCUGAUUCUUACAAGAUAGAAAGAUAGAUAGAUAGAUAGAUAGAUAGAUAGAUAGAUAGAUAGAUAGAUUUUUUUUUCAAGACAGGGUUUCUCUAUGUAGCCAUGGCUGUCCUGGAACUCACUCUGUAGACCAGGCUGGCCUUGAACUCAGAAAUCUGCCUGCCUUGCCUCCCAAGUGCUGGGAUAAAAGGUAUGUGCCACUACUGCCUGGCAUUAUGUAAGUAUUAUUACAAGUACUCUGCAAUUUUGCUGAAAUUGUUGUUUCUAGAAGUUUUAUUCUUUUUUAAAAAUUAGGUAUCUUCCUCAUUUGCAUUUCCAAUGCUAUCCCAAAAGUCCCCUAUACCCUACCCCCCACCCCCCUACCCACCCACUUCCACUUUUUGGCCCUGGCAUUCCCCUGUACUGGAGCAUAUAAAGUUUGCAAGUCCAAUGGGCNNNNNNNNNNNNNNNNNNNNNNNNNNNNNNNNNNNNNNNNNNNNNNNNNNNNNNUUUGUUCCCAAUUCUAAGAAGGGGCAAAGUGUCCACACUUUGGUCUUCGUUCUUCUUGAGUUUCAUGUGUUUUGCAAAUUGUAGCUUAUAUUUAUUCUUAAGGACUAUAUAUAAGAAUUUAGGUGGGGGUGUGGUAAGAAAGUAGCUUAGUGAGAGAUCUCUACUCUUUUGAGGUUCAAGUUCAAAAACCAAAAAGGAAAAACAAAUCCCUUUGAUUUUCAUCUUUAAAUUUUGGUAUCAAUCAAUCUAGUAUAAAUUUGUCUAUCACAAAAAUGGCUUGAAGCAUUCAUUGUCAAUCAAUUGGCUCUGGAAUUGUGUUUUUGUCUUGAGUUAUAUUUCCCACUUACUAUGGAUAUUAAACAUCUCUGUAUACUAUUAUUAGCUAGUUGUAUUUUGCAUCUGAUCCCCACUCAGUCUUCUGAAGUCCACUUUUUAUUUGAGUGCUAAUCUGUUCAUUAUGCAUCUAAAUGAACUUUCUGAAUAUUAUUGAUUCUAGGCAUUUGCCCACCAGUCAUUUUACAGAUGCAUUCUUCCAGUUAGCAAUUUGUUGUUCUGUGUCCUUUAAUGUGAGUUGAUGACUAAAAAUAUCUUUCUUGUCAAAAUUUCUAUAAGUAGUAUACAGAAAAGAUCAAAAAUAAAAAUAUUAAAUAUCUCACAUGAAAUAUUUAUGUGUAGUUUACUUAGAAAAUGUGAGAACAUAUAUAUCUUUGUGUUUAAUUAGAAUACUACAUCAAUAUUUUAAAGCUACUAUACAAAUAUUAUAAACAUUAAGUACCUUUGUGCAUUUGUAUAGUUAAUGCUAUUCAGUACAUAUUCACUUUUGAAACCAGUAAAAAGAGGACUGAAAUAGCAGAAAAUUAAAAAAUUCUAAUAAAAAGGGGGAAAAUUCUUUCUAUACUGAAGUAAGGUGAUAUUAACAUAAGUACUUAGCAUAUAUUUAGAAUAUUUAUUACCAUAUAUAGUGGGGUCACAUGACAUAUUUUAAAAUCUAAAACAUGUAAAUUUUGUUAAUUUAUUAAAAUGCAUAGCUACAGAAAGAUUUUGAAUAUAACACAGUCAUUGCUAUUCAUUAGAAUUUACUAUCCCUGAAUC
ensembl:lincRNA